AAUGAAUGUUGGCGGUAUGGAUGAGGCAUGCAAGUCGAGCGAGAAGCUCCCUUCGGGGAGUGGACAGCGGCGAAAGGGUGAGUAAUGAAUGGCUAACGUACCUUCCAGCGGGGAAUAGCUUCGGGAAACCGGGGGUAAUACCGCAUAAGACCACGACUCCGCAUGGAGAUGAGGUCAAAGACUUCGGUCACUGGAAGAGCGGGCCAUUUGAUAUCAGCUAGUUGGUGAGGUAACGGCUCACCAAGGCUUUGACGUCUAGCCGGUCUGAGAGGAUGGCCGGCCACACCGGGACUGAGACACUGCCCGGACAUCUACGGAUGGCUGCAGUCGAGAAUCAUUGUCAAUGCGCGAAAGCGUGAACGUGCGAUACCGCGUGUGGGAAGAAGGCGCUAUGCGUUGUAAACCACUGUCAGGGGGUAUAAAUAAGCGGGUAAUCCCCGUGAUGAUGUAAACCCCAAAGGAAGUCGCAGCUAACUACGUGCCAGCAGCC
rnacentral:rRNA from 1 species